UACGAGAGGCGCAAACGUUAUUCGGAAUUACUGGGCUUAAAGCGUGUGUAGGCGGAUCGUUAAGUGUCUUGUGAAAUCCCACGGCUCAACCGUGGAACUGCUGGGCAUACUGGCGAUCUUGGGCCAUUCAGGGGCGACUGGAACAAGCGGUGGAGCGGUGAAAUGCGUAGAUAUCGCUUGGAGCGCCGAAGGUGAAAACAGGUCGCUGGGGAUGUGCCGACGCUGAGACACGAAAGCCAGGGGAGCAAACGGG
rnacentral:rRNA from 1 species